rnacentral:rRNA from 1 species
GAUGAACGCUGGCGGCGUGCCUAAUACAUGCAAGUCGAGCGAACGGACGAGAAGCUUGCUUCUCUGAUGUUAGCGGCGGACGGGUGAGUAACACGUGGAUAACCUACCUAUAAGACUGGGAUAACUUCGGGAAACCGGAGCUAAUACCGGAUGAUAUUUUGAACCGCAUGGUUCAAAAGUGAAGGACGGUCUUGCUGUCACUUAUAGAUGGAUCCGCGCUGCAUUAGCUAGUUGGUAAGGUAACGGCUUACCAAGGCAACGAUGCAUAGCCGACCUGAGAGGGUGAUCGGCCACACUGGAACUGAGACACGGUCCAGACUCCUACGGGAGGCAGCAGUAGGGAAUCUUCCGCAAUGGGCGAAAGCCUGACGGAGCAACGCCGCGUGAGUGAUGAAGGUCUUCGGAUCGUAAAACUCUGUUAUUAGGGAAGAACAUAUGUGUAAGUAACUGUGCACAUCUUGACGGUACCUAAUCAGAAAGCCACGGCUAACUACGUGCCAGCAGCCGCGGUAAUACGUAGGUGGCAAGCGUUAUCCGGAAUUAUUGGGCGUAAAGCGCGCGUAGGCGGGUUUUUAAGUCUGAUGUGAAAGCCCACGGCUCAACCGUGGAGGGUCAUUGGAAACUGGAAAACUUGAGUGCAGAAGAGGAAAGUGGAAUUCCAUGUGUAGCGGUGAAAUGCGCAGAGAUAUGGAGGAACACCAGUGGCGAAGGCGACUUUCUGGUCUGUAACUGACGCUGAUGUGCGAAAGCGUGGGGAUCAAACAGGAUUAGAUACCCUGGUAGUCCACGCCGUAAACGAUGAGUGCUAAGUGUUAGGGGGUUUCCGCCCCUUAGUGCUGCAGCUAACGCAUUAAGCACUCCGCCUGGGGAGUACGACCGCAAGGUUGAAACUCAAAGGAAUUGACGGGGACCCGCACAAGCGGUGGAGCAUGUGGUUUAAUUCGAAGCAACGCGAAGAACCUUACCAAAUCUUGACAUCCUUUGACAACUCUAGAGAUAGAGCCUUCCCCUUCGGGGGGGACAAAGUGACAGGUGGUGCAUGGUUGUCGUCAGCUCGUGUCGUGAGAUGUUGGGUUAAGUCCCGCAACGAGCGCAACCCUUAAGCUUAGUUGCCAUCAUUAAGUUGGGCACUCUAAGUUGACUGCCGGUGACAAACCGGAGGAAGGUGGGGAUGACGUCAAAUCAUCAUGCCCCUUAUGAUUUGGGCUACACACGUGCUACAAUGGACAAUACAAAGGGCAGCGAAACCGCGAGGUCAAGCAAAUCCCAUAAAGUUGUUCUCAGUUCGGAUUGUAGUCUGCAACUCGACUACAUGAAGCUGGAAUCGCUAGUAAUCGUAGAUCAGCAUGCUACGGUGAAUACGUUCCCGGGUCU